UGUGACUGAUUUAUUUCUCCAAAUAUUUUCGUUUUUGUUCCCUCUGUUAACCAUAUGCACUCUGAACUACCAAUCCCACAAUAUAAAAACAUUUUAUGUGCUCUUUUUAUCAUUUAGCGAAUAAGAAUCCUUUUUCGGAUUUGCUUCCUUGUCUCUCCCUCCCUUGAUAGCAGCGGCAUUAUAAAUGCACAAUUGGAAAGAAAGCCUAAGACUUGUUAGGCUCCAAAUUUGCAAUCCCACAAGGGAUUUUAAUAUUUAGAGCAAGAAGGACACAAAUGAUUCAUAACAAAUUUCAAGUCAUACACUGAUGCAGUUGAAGCACACCAGUUGUCACAGUUGAGAGAACGUUCGCCCCAGCUCAUCUGGAUGCAAUUUUGCGCCAAGCGGAUUUUACAUUUCCGUUCUCACGUUUGCAGUAUGCAACUGUACUUCUGUAUUGUCUAGAUGCCUCUGUGUAUCUUCAUCCUCAUGUGUAAGUGCUCCGGCUUCCCGCCCUCGUGGGUCACACUGCACGUCUUCCUGACAUUGACUCCCUGCCGCGCUUCAAAUUGGAAUCGACAGAGGAGCUGUCGAGCUGUUUUCUUGCCCACCUCCAGUCCGCCGAGUGACCCCGCAUGCAGUCGGUUCCUUUGGUAUGAAAGCUCCCCCUUCGAGGUUUGCAUCUUAAGGCCAUUAUCUGGAGGUAAAUCAUGGAUUGCUUUCGAAAUUUGAAAUAUCUACUUUGCAAAUCAAAUUGUGGCUCAAGCAAAAUUCUGCAAUUUAUUACAGUUAUGAAAGAAUGGUUUGAUUCAUUUUUGUACUCUAAUUUAAUCAUACACUAAAAAAAAGACUGAAUAAUGUUAUUUUGCAAAGGAAAGCAUUAGUUUAACAUAUCAAAGGAGUAAGAAAUGUAAAAAUUUAAAUAUACCGUUUUAUAUAAUUUAACCCUUUCAGCGGUUACAGGGGGCAAGAAAGGGUAAAAUAAACUCUAUAACAUAUUUUACAGACAUGUCUUUUUCAAAUGAUUAUUUUCAUCCCGUCUACGAAUGACUUGGCCCAUCUGUCCAUAUGAAAAAUCUAAUUUGGCCCCCAAGCACCAACGUUCGCCCACCUAUGCUCUAACGCAAUUGUGCAGUCGUGAAACGUAUCAAGGCCGCAAAGCCUGACAAGGCUCAUCUGACAAAAGCCUUAGCGAUCCACUACAAAAUGCAUGACAUGACUCCCACCAAAACUCGCAAGCACGACUCCGCUGCCGCAGACGCGCAUUAACAGUGCAUGAGAAUGGGAACAUGUCAGCAUGCGAAACACUGUCAGACAUCCCCCAUGCCUCCAGUCUAUCACACAGACUGCAGACACAGUGGAUGUCAUGUAACUUUUUUUUGGGGGGGUGGACGUGGCUGUUUAAAAAUGAGGAUCAAAGCGUGGCACAAACUUUUGUUUUUUGGGGAGUUUUAUUGCCAAAAAGCCCCCAUAAAAAAUGCAUUUGCUGGAUGUGGAAACCAUUCCAAUGCAGCAGCUGUUUCUACUGAACAAUUUAAAAAAUAUAUAUUUAAUGUACAAUCUGGAAAACAGUUCACUAGAUUUUAUUAUAAGUGGGAAGAUAUCAGCUGUUUUUAUUUGUUUUUAUUUAUGACAAUGCCGUGUUAAUUUCUAAGUACCCCCGUCUCACAGCUCUUGCUCAUAAAUCUUCAAUGCAGACAAGUCUGACACUUUUGAAAGGGGAACUUGAACGCAUUUGUGCGGAUGAGACGCAAGGCUCGGAUUUGUACACGAAGCCACAACCUGUGCGGUAUUUACUACAAAGCUGAAGUCAUACGAAUAAAUCUUCAAUGACUCGCGUACGUGGGCCAGUCAAUCAGUGAGACUUCCGCAUGCUCUUGGUUCUAAUAUAAAGUUAUGGAUUGUUGACAUUGAGACACAUGCACACACACAACCAGACUCUUCAUUUGGCACACCUGCACAACCUAAUCGGAUCCAAAACACGAUUUCAGACCGCAAAAAGUAAA